AAGAAAGUUAAUAAGAGCGUAUGGUGGAUGCCUUGGCUCUCAGAGGCGAAGAAGGACGUGGUAAGCUGCGAUAAGCUUCGGGUAGGUGCAAACAACCUUUGUUCCGGAGAUUU
rnacentral:rRNA from 1 species